UACGUAGGGUGCAAGCGUUAAUCGGAAUUACUGGGCGUAAAGCGUGCGCAGGCGGUUAGUGUAAGACAGAUGUGAAAUGCCCGGGCUUAACCGUGGGAACUGCAUUGUGACUGCAUGGCUAGAAUCUGGCAGGAGGGGGGUAGAAUUCCACGUGUAGCAGUGAAAUGCGUAGAUAUGGUGGAGGAACACCGAUGGCGAAGGCAGCCCCCUGGGUCAAGAUUGACGCU
rnacentral:rRNA from 1 species